GAAAUGAUUAUCAUCUUAAUUAUACUUAUUGAUACAUUAGAAAGAAAGGAUAUUAGAAAAGCAGAAAGCUCAAUGAAGUAGUGUAGUUGUUUUCGUAGGCCACAAGACCUUACACUUUCCAAAUUUUCAACUGGUAUUCACAUAUCCUAUUAAAACCACUCAACCUAUCAUUUUUUAAUCUAAGUAGAGUCAGUUUUGAGUAUAUUUAGCAUUUGAAUUUGAUUGUUUCAUUUUCCUUAAAUUUCUUAAGUAAUAAGAACAUUUUUUUAAAAAAAUUUCAAGAACUGAAAUCCAUCCACUUAUUAAGACAAGAACAUAGAUCGAGUCAAAAUUAAUAGACUACCACAGAUUAUUAUUUUAAUUAUCAUUUGUUAGGACGACUGCAUACAUUGUAUAUGCAACUGCUACAUAAUGCAUUAUUGCAUUACCAUGGAACUUUAAGACGAUUACGGAAUAAAAUCCUAGAGGGAAAUUGCGGUUCCUUACUGUAGGACCCUUACAUCCUUGUAGGACAUAACACUUCACUAUGACAAAAAAAUGUUUUACUUAACCCUAUAAAAAGGAAACACACUGUGAUGCCCCAAGUUAAUUAUAUUGAUUGAGUGCAUGUUAUAUAGAAGUAUGUGAUGAAUAUCACAUUAGGCAUAUAUUAGGUUGAUUUGAAAUUUAUUACCAACUAUAAGAAUUCUUAAUUAUGACUAGCCUAGUCUUUUUGGGGUAUAGUAUAAAUGUGACAACUGCUUUUCCUUGGGUCAUUACAAAUGUUGUUAAAGCAAAUUCGGUGACUCCAUGUAGCUUAAGGGCACUACAGCACAACGUGGGCACUGAUGAGAACGUCAAGAAUUUAAGUGGGAGAGAUUGUAAUUCCCUAAAGCCUCGUUUGGGAGGAGGAAAUUGAAUGGAAUGGAAAGGAAUGAAAAAAAUAAUUUUAGAAUAUUCUUCCAUUUCCUUAUUUGGGAGUUUUAAUGGAGGAAAAGAAAAGCUCAUUCCCUUGUUUGGGAGUUUAAGUGGGAGGGAACGGAAUGGGUAGGAGGGAACACUCAUUCCUCUCUAUUCCCUUAAAAUCUCAAAUUUUCAUUCCCCCUAAAAUUGGGAGGAAUUUGAGUGAAUGAAAUUAGAUUUAACAAUUUUUACUAAAGCUUUCAAAAUACCCCUAUAUAUUCAACCCUUUAUUUUAAAAUAGGGGUCUAAUAGUAAUAUUGUUAUAAAAUGAUUCCAUUCCAUUCCCUCCAUGUUGCUCCCAAACAAGAUUACUUACAUUCCAUUUAUUUUCAUUCCUUUAUUUUAAAACAUCCAAUCAAGGUUGGUUAAUUCCAUUCCAUUCUUUUCCCUUACUUAAAUACAUUCCAUUCAUUUCCAUUCCCUUAUAUAUGAUCAUUCUAUUUCAUUCCCUUAUGAACUCCCAAACGGAGCCUAAGAAAUUGUGACAACCCAAUUUAUGCGAAUUUGAUUGGAUUAGAUUGGAUUGGAUCACAGUAUCUGACUUAAAGCAUUACUUAGAUCCCAAGACACGUGGGAGAUAUUGAAGAAAUAUGUGUAUUUACAAGAUGAAGCAUCUUUGACUCAAAAUUAGAAGGAAGCUUUGCAUAAGACUCUAAGAAAGAUCAAUAAGUUCUAACGUUAAUCUAUCAUGGUUUAGAUGAAACCAUAUUUGAGAAAGUUGUAAAUGCAACUUCAUCCAAAAAAUCGUAGGAGAUCCUUCAAACUCUUUGAAGGGAGUAAUUAAUAAGGUUAACUAGUUAAGAAUGCUCGCCUUUAAACAUUGAGAGAUGAGUUGGAAACCUUACACAUGAAAGAAUCCUAAUGAGUUUCGGAUUAUUUUUCAAGGUUGAUAGCUAUUGUGAAUCAAUUGAAAAGAUGUGUUAAGAAAUUGGACGAUGCCUGUAUGGUAAAAAAAAUCCUUCAAUCGUUGACCAACUCAUUGGAUUUUUACAAGCCCACAUGAAGAAAGGCUUAACAAUAAGAAGCAAGAGACUUUGGAGCCUGUUAAACAAUACAAGCUUACCUUGAAUGAGAAAGGAUGUCAUGAAAGUACUCAAAGAAGGUCAAGACAUAGACAUGGUCAAGGAGAAGGAUCCAAGGAAAAGUCACUCCGUGCUCCUCGACCCACACCUCCACCGGCCUCAACGUCACUGGCCCAAGCCGACCUAAGCCCCAAGCCUCCGACACACGCCUCCGCCGUCCUCAACGUCACUGGCCCAAGCUGACCCAAGCCCCAAGCCGACCCAAGUCCCAAGCCGCUGAUCCACGUCUCCGACCCACGCCUCCGCCCACUUCUCUUUCGCCGAUCAGACUCACACCGACACUGUCCUCCCCAAGCCGUAAGCCACCGCUGCCGCCCAUCUCUCUAUUCUCUUUGCUGUGAUUGAGAGUUUUUUUUUUUUUUUAAUGUAUUUUCAUAUGGGUUUGGUGGCUGUAAUGGUGGUGGUUGAUUUUGGCUAUGGUCGUGGUGGUGGAUGAUUUUGACAGUGGGUUUGUGGAUUUUGGUUGUGGUGAUGGUGGAUGAUUUUGGCUUUGGCAGUGGGUUUUGUAGAUUUUGGCUAUGAGUUUUGUGGUUUAUGGUUGUGAUUGUGGUUGUGGUUGUGGCAGUGGCAGUGGCAGUGGGUUGUGGUUGUGGUUGUCAUGGCUGGUGGUUUGUGGUGAUUGGUGGUGAUGGAGUUGUGAUUGUGGUUGUGGUUUUGUUUUUUUGUUUUUUUUCUAUGUUGUGUUGUGGUUGCCAAAGUAGAGUGGUGGUUGUGGCCGGUGGUGGUGGUGGAGAUUGUGGGUGUGGGUGUGGCUGAUGGUAGAAAUGGUGUGGUUGGUGCUGUGGAUUUUUUUGGUAGUGGGAUAUAUUAUUUUAUUGUAGAAGAUAUAUUAUUUUAUUGUGAUGUUUAUAUUAUUUUAUUGUGUUGAAAGCUAAAAUAGAUCCACUGCUGCAGUAUGUGUAUAGGUAAAAUAGAUAAAAUAACUUUUGGUGGAGCUAAAAAGCUAAAUUUUUAACUC